rnacentral:pre_miRNA from 1 species
ACAACAUUUGGACCGUCGGUCUACUGAGCAAUGUCUCCCGCUCGAAUGAAGAUCAUCCCUACGUCAU